rnacentral:rRNA from 1 species
AGAAUCAACGCUGGCGGCGUGCCUAACACAUGCAAGUCGAACGAGAAAGUGGAGCAAUCCAUGAGUAAAGUGGCGACCGGGUGAGUAACACGUGACUAACCUACCUUCGAGUGGGGGAUAACCUCGGGAAACCGAGGCUAAUACCGCAUAACAUCGCAAGAUCAAAGCAGCAAUGCGCUGGAAGAGGGGGUCGCGGCUGAUUAGCUAGUUGGCGGGGUAAUGGCCCACCAAGCGAAGAUCGGUAGCCGGCCUGAGAGGGCGCACGGCCACACUGGAACUGAAACACGGUCCAGACUCCUACGGGAGGCAGCAGUGGGGAAUUUUGCGCAAUGGGGGAAACCCUGACGCAGCAACGCCGCGUGGAGGAUGAAGCCCCUUGGGGUGUAAACUCCUUUCGACCAAGACGAUAAUGACGGUACUGGUGGAAGAAGCGACCGGCUAACUCUGCGCCAGCAGCCGC